UGUGUAGGCGGUGCUCUAAGUCUGUCGUGAAAUCUCCCGGCUUAACUGGGAGGGUGCGGCGGAUACUAUUGUGCUAGAGGGUGGGAGAGGUAAGCGGAAUUCCUGGUGUAGCGGUGAAAUGCGUAGAUAUCAGGAGGAACACCUGCGGUGUAGACAGCUUACUGGACCACUUCUGACGCUGAGACACGAAAGCGUGGGUAGCAAACA
rnacentral:rRNA from 1 species